UACGUAGGGACCAAGCGUUGUUCGGAUUUACUGGGCGUAAAGGGCGCGUAGGCGGCAAUUCAAGUCAGCUGUGAAAUCUCCGGGCUUAACUCGGAACGGUCAGCUGAUACUGCUUUGCUAGAGUGCAGAAGGGGCAAUCGGAAUUCUUGGUGUAGCGGUGAAAUGCGUAGAUAUCAAGAGGAACACCUGAGGUGAAGGCGGUUCUCUGGGCCUGUACUGACGCUGAGGAGCGAAAGCGUGGGGGAGCGAACAGG
rnacentral:rRNA from 1 species